rnacentral:rRNA from 1 species
UUCCGGAGAGGGAGCCUGAGAAACGGCUACCACAUCCAAGGACGGCAGCAGGCGCGCAAAUUACCCAAUCCAGACACUGGGAGGUGGUGACGAGAAAUACCAGGUCGGUCCCAAAAGGAUUCGACACUGGAAUGAGUUUAAUUUAAAAAUUUAAACGAGAAACAACUGGAGGGCAAGUCUGGUGCCAGCAGCCGCGGUAAUUCCAGCUCCAGUAGUGUAUCCAAACGUUGCUGCGGUUAAAACGCUCGUAGUUGGACAAGAGAGUAACUUGGUGCGGGCGGGGAGUGUGAAGCUCUAUGUGUUUGCCUGUUGUGGUUGGUGUUGCUUGUAUUGUGUAAAAGCUCUAUGAGUGCACUGGCGCUUCAGGAUGUAGCAUAGUAGUGCACUUGUCGACCAUGCUGCCAGGUUGCUUGUAAUGUUUCGUGAGAAUGGUGCAUGGUCUUUAUUGUAUUGUGUACUGUGUCUUACGUAGUGUGCCUUGAAUAAAUCAGAGUGCUCAAAGCAAGCUAUCGCUUGAAUGUUAAUAGCAUGGAACGAAUGUGUUGUGAGAGUGUGCUAGUGACUGUGUACUUGGUGCGUGGUCCUAGUGCAUAGCACCAACCGCGAAGCGGAACAUUGGUUGCCGACUUCGGGUGAGGAUUAAGAGGGGCAUUUGGGGGCAUUAGUAUUUGGCCGCGAGAGGUGAAAUUCUUGGACCGGCCAAGGACUAACAAGUGCGAAAGCAUUUGCCAAGUAUGUUCCCUUUAAUCAAGAACGAAAGUGAGAGGUUCGAAGACGAUCAGAUACCGUCCUAGUUCUCACCGUAAACGAUGCCAACCCGGGAUCAGUGCGGAUGAGAUGAUUUGGAUCCAGGUUGGUCCCCCUGGGAAACCUUGAGUGUUUAGGUUCCGGGGGGAGUAUGGUUGCAAGGCUGAAACUUAAAGGGAAUUGACGGAAGGGCACCACCAGGGGGUGGAGCCUGCGGCUCAAUUUGACUCAACACGGGAAAACUCACCUGGUCCGGACAUCGAUAGGAUUGACAGACUAAUAGAUCUUUCAUGAUACGGUGGGUGGUGGUGCAUGGCCGUUCUUAGUUCGUGGAGCGAUCUGUCAGGUUCAUUCCGGUAACGGACGAGACUACGAUCCCCAUUUGGGGAAGUGCAGGACAGGUGGGAAGGGGGCCCCCGGUCGGCAACGGCAGGACGGCAACCGUGCGCCUGUUCCUGGGCUGCGCGCACAGCAAUGUGCGUCCCCAUGGAGAGACAGCCGGAUUGUAAGGCGGAGGAAGCGUGGCAAUAACAGGUCUGUGAUGCCCUUCGAUGUUCAGGGCCGCACGCGCGCUACAAUGAUAACGACAACGAGCGCCUGGACUGAAAAGUUCUGGGAAAUCUUUUGAAUCGUUAUCGUGAUGGGGAUUGAGCAUUGUAAUUCUUGCUCAUGAAAUAGGAAUCCCUUGUAUACGUGUCUCACUUAGGACACGUAGAAUGCGUCUCUGCCCUUUGUACACACCGCCCGUCGCUACUACCGAGUGAAUGGUGUCAUGAUGUCUUGGGACUGGACGUUGUUGGCA